ACAAUGGUACCCUACUAUAGUUGUCAAGGACAAAGUGGUCCAGAACAACGGUACCCUACCAUACUUAUCAACAUGUGUCAUGGACGUAUGGGGCAGAAGAAAUUGUAGUUGUUUAUCUUAGAUCCCCUAUUAAUCAACACGAAAUUACAACUUGGGGAUAUUAUAGUAAUAUUUUUUUAUAUAACUAUUAAGUUGAUUACAUGAUUCAUUAUUUUGCAGUUGAGAGAGCUUUGGAGAGGAGUUGAUGUACUUGUGGGUACACCUAGAAGUUUAUCGAUUCAAGAAAAAAGCUUUGAGGCAGUUGAAGACCUCAAAGAAAUGUUCAAAAAGAUUGACAUUGAUGAAGAUGGCACUAUUACAAUUGAAGAAUUAAAGACCAUAUUGCAAAAGUUAAACAUACACCUUGUAGAUUCGGAAAUACAGUUGCUUAUUGAAGUUGUGAGUCUUUAACUUUUUUGAAAUGUGAUUCAUGUUUUCCAGGUAUGAGUGCAUAACUCAAAAAAAUUUGUAUAGUAUUUUUAAGGAAUUUCUUAUGUUUAUGAAAACAUCAGCAAAUUUUGGAUAUGUGGUUCAUGUUUUUCAGGUUGCGGAGGUACCACUGGGAACAAAUGUCAUAUGUCACUUGGUUUGCAAGUGGCUGCUACUGUCAAUUGCGCCGACAACACUGUGCCAAGAACAUGUACAUCUGAGGGAUGUGCACUCUCAAGGGAGCAGAUAACGGUGGUUCAACGGAAGCAAUUCGUGCCGCCUGCAAAGACUCUGUAGCAAUGUUGUUCAUGUUUGAUCUUACCAGGCGGUGUACAUUGAACAGGACUCUUUGAUUUCCGGUGUAGUUAAUUGGUAUCAAGAAUCAAGAAAACAUAAUCAGACGGCGAUUCUGGUCAUGGUUGGCAGCAAGUUUGAAUUUGCUUCUAGGGUUUGUUUGAUUGAAUUGAUGUGAGUUUUUUAUGAAAAAAUUUUGUUCAUUACCUAAUGGAACUAACUUAUAUGAGAGAUUUUGAUUAUUUCUAAAAUCAAUUUCUUGUGGCAACGUCACCAGGUAAACUACUCACUAUUUAACAAUUUAAUAAAUAUGAUUUUUUUUAAUUCGCUCGCUACUAUCCCAUGGAUGUUUGAUUCUACCAUUACAUCGUUGCCAGAUUGUAAGUAAACUUUAUUCAGUCCUUAAUCUGUUACAUGUCAAUUUGUUCCUUUUUUGUUGUUUCACUGUUUAUCUGACCUUCCAAUUUUUUUUUUUAUUUUUUGCAGAUGAUGUGCCGAUGGGGAGAUCCUCAGUUAAUUCAACAAAUGGAUUUCAGGAUGAUCCACAAGAAAGGUGGCAUAUGGAAGCUUUAACAUAAACAGUUCACCUGUUUGCAGUUGUAUGGAAGCGUUUCAACCAAGAAGCUCAAAAGAUUAGAAUGCAGGAGAUUCGUCUUAGGUGUCUUGUACUUCAUUUCUUGACUGUAUUUAUUUAUUAGUUUUUAUAUGUUUUUUUUCUUUACUCAGGGCUUAUGGAAUCUAAGAAAGCCGACGAUUGAACUUAUUAGCAUACUGUAACACAUACUGAUCAGUAAAUUGAUUCUUUUUUGUUUUU